UUGUGUGAAGCAUUUGAGGCAUCACACUUGGGGUGCUAGGCUCACAAGGUUUCAAGGAACACAAGCAACAACAAGGUAAGUUAUUCUAUCUAUGAUUCAAGUUAAAAUUGUUCCCCAUGUAUGCUAGAUAGGAAUAUAACCUUGGAAUUCAACUUUGCAUGAUAAUUAGACAAACAUAGAUCCAAGGUUAUUAGGGUUGCAUGUACACUUAGGAAGUGUUAGAAUGCUCAAAACCCAUCAGUGGUAUCAGAGCCUAGGCUUGUUUGUUUGUUAUUUGUGCUUAAAAGUUGAAGAAAGUCGAAAAUUCUGCUGUCUGACUGAUGGACUCGGCGAGUCCAUGGGGAGGACUCGUCGAGUUCAUGUGUAUCUUCAACCUACUCGGCGAGUAGGUUUAUGCACUCGGCGAGUAGGGUCGACAGAGUGCAGAAUUUCGACUUGAGUUGCUGGAAAUGGAUUAGAAUCAUUACCCUAAAAUGUUUUGGUACUUGAAAACUUAUUUUAGAAGGUGUAAUGUCUUUUCUAACUCAUUUACAACAACUAGUUAUCAAAAUUACAAAGAUUAAAUGUGAUUUUGAUUCUUGAAAGUGUUCAUAUUCAUAUUCUUGUUCUUAUGAUGUUUAGAUGAUCAUAGGAAUUAUUUGUAACCUAUGUGGUAGAUUAAUUCAUGAUCAUAAUGUGUUUUAAUGGAGUCCAUAACUUGUCCUCAAGUUAUGGAAAACCAAAAGUCUCUUGGAUUAAAAACCAUUAAAAGAACACAAGAGUUAGGAAAAAUGAAAAGUCCUCAUUUUAUUACUCUAUUAAACUCAUAAGUUACAAGAAAUGAAAAGUUUUGAAAGUUUACAAAACUUGCCCUCAAGUUUUGGAACAAGUAAAGUUAAGUUAAAACUUUAGUUCCAACCCCUAGAAUUUUAAAAGUUAAAAUUCAACCCUUAUACUUAUAUUAUUAUGAUUUAAUAAUUAUAUAUAUAUGUAUAAGAACAAAGUCGUCUUACCGCUAGUACGCCUCAUUCACGAAGCCGGUCUAUAAGGUGGGUAUAAGGUUGUUGCCUAUAAAAUGGUGACUUAAUGGGUGUCCACUCUCACCCACCGCUUGCUUGAUCGGUGGAGGGUCGUUAGCCGAACGGGUAAGACAAGGACUUAUUAAUUCUCAUUCAAAGUAUGAUGAAUAUUAUAAAGUAACUAAAUGUUUUAUUAAAUUCCCAAUCUUAGUUACUUUAGGAAAAAUGUGAAUAAGGUGCUAUUCCAUGAAAUUACACUUUACACUUUGAUUAAGUCGUUGGUGGAGCGUGUGUGGUUAACCGGCACACUAACUUGGACUUAACAAGGUAGGUAAAGGGUGACUUAGGGUUUAUUAUAGUAUCGAUGGAGCGUGUGUGGUUAACCGGCACAUCGAUUGAGUGAUAAACUUUAAGGGUACCAAGUGAUUUGCAUGGUUACUUCACACCUCGUUUUGUGAUCCUCGGUAUCCCAGUCACAAAACUUGGAGGGCACACUCGAGAUUGAAACAUGCCUUUGAAAAGUUCAUUGAAUCUCAAAGAAUCUAGGAAUUUCUAAGAACCAUUCAAAAACCUAAUACUAAAAUAUUGCGGUUUUCGUGGUGGAAAUUGGUGAAUCGUCAUUCACCUACCUUUCAAAUAUGAUAUAGCUUAGAUUACGGCAUACCUCUUCUAAGUUAUAUUAUAUUGUGAUUGGAUCCUAGCCUUAAUAUUACAUUUGGGUGUUUUAUUAAGGACUCUCUUAUAUCUAAACUAAUCUUGUCCUCUUUCCUUCAGAUGUCUUUCAACAAUGCUUCUGGCUCUAAUCCUAAUGGCUCCUUUACCCUUAUGAACUUGUGUGGGAAAGUCACCUUUGAUGGAUCCAACUUCAAUGAGUGGAUCAGAAACAUCAGGAUGAUUACCCGCUACGAGGACAAAGAAUAUGUCCUUGACAAGGAGCUUAAGGAGAUUGAUGAGUCCACUGCAACUCCUCAGGAGAUCGCUGAAUUUCGGGCACAUGAAAGGGAUGCUACGAAAGUGGCUUGCAUCAUGAUGGCCACGAUGACAGCGGAACUCCAAAAGUCUUAUGAGGAUUUCUACCCUUAUGACAUGCACCAAGAUUUGAUGGAAAGAUACCAUCAAAGUGCAAGACAAGAGAGGUAUGAAAUCAUCUGCUCCAUGAUAACAACCAUGAUGAAGGACGGGGAAUCCGUCACGAGCCACAUGCAGAAAAUGCAAAGGUAUGUGGAUCGUUUGCUGAAGCUUAAUGUGAACUUCCCGGAGGAUCUUGCAAUAGAUAUUAUUUUGCAUUCCUUACCAUCGUGCUAUGAUCAAUUCCGCAUGACAUAUCACAUGAACAAGGAAGAAGUCACCCUCAGCAAACUUCAGGGACUUCUCAAGACCGCAGAAACAGGUCUUAAGGGGAAGUCGGUUGCUAUCACUCCUACUCAAAACUCUACUCCGGUUUUGGCAAUCGGGAAAAGUCGAGGGAGGAAGAGAAAGAGCUCUUCUAAGGGUACCAAGGCUCGGACCCUUGAUGGCUCUUCUUCAAGUGGAACCAAGAAAGGUUUCGUUACUCCUUCUUCUGACCCAAAAGAGGCUGAAUGCUUCUAUUGCCAUGAAAAAGCUCAUUGGAAGCGGAACUGCCCAAAAUACCAGCAAGAUGUGAAGGAUGGGAAAGUUAAACCCAACCAUGCAGGUAUUUACACUAUCAUUUCUAAUAACUCACCCCAUUCUAAUUCUUGGGUCCUUGAUACCGGGUGUGGUAUUCACAUUUGUUGUGACUUGCAGGGACUAAGAAGAAGUGAGGAUGUGGAGCAAGGAAGGAUAAACUUGAUCAUGGGGAAUAGGAAAGCUAUACCUGUUACCAAGAUUGGAGUUUAUACUUUAUCGCUAAGUAGUGGGUUUAGUUUAGAUUUGAAUAAGUGUUGUUAUUCGCCAGGAAUGGCAAGAAAUAUUAUUUCCUUUCAUGCUUUGUACAAACAAGGGUUUACCUUUUCAUUUAAUAAUGAAGUUGGUUCUAUAGAUGUUUUCUAUAAUAAUGUCUUUUAUUUUAAAGCAUUACCUUGUGAUGGUGUGUAUGAAGCUGUAUCUGUUGUAGAUAACUUGGGAAAUAAUGUUUUGUGUAUUGAUUCUACUAAUAAUAACUUGGAUAAAGCAUCUUUAUGGCAUUGUCGUCUUGGACAUAUAAGCAAGAAACGCAUAGGCCAACUCCAAAAGGAUGGAGUCUUGGAGUCGUUUGACCUAAAGUCAGAUGAUAGUUGCGAAUCAUGCUUACUUGGAAAAAUGACAAAGUCACCCUUCACAGGUUCGUGUGAGAGGGGUGAAGGUUUGUUGGACCUUAUACACACGGAUGUGUGUGGACCAUUCAAACAUGCCACAAGGGAUGCUAAUCGUUAUUAUUUGACUUUUACUGAUGAUUAUAGUAGAUAUGGAUAUGUCUACUUGAUCAAGCAUAAGUCAGAGACUUUCGAGAGGUUUAAGGAAUUUAAACAGGAAGUCGAGAAUCAAUUGGGCAGGAACAUUAAGAUGCUUCGAUCCGAUCGUGGUGGUGAGUAUCUUAGUUCAGAGUUCCUCGACUAUCUAAGGGAAUGUGGGAUAGUCUCACAAUUGACACCUCCCAGGACACCACAGUUGAAUGGUGUGGCUGAGAGGCGUAAUCGAACCUUGUUAGAUAUGGUUCGUUCCAUGAUGAGUCGAGCUACGCUACCAAUCUCAUUCUGGGGGUAUGCCUUAGAGACUGCCGCCCAUAUUCUUAAUCUAGUCCCUACAAAGAAAGUUGCCAAAACUCCUCACGAGAUGUGGACUGGUAAAGUACCUAAACUAGACCACAUCAAGAUUUGGGGUUGCGAGGCUUUCGUGAGACGCGAGACUCAUGAUAAGCUCGAACCUCGAAGCGAGAGGUGUAUUUUCAUCGGUUACCCACAGCGAUCCUUUGGUUACCUCUUCUACAGACCUAGUGACAAUGUGGUCUUUGUAGCAAGAAGAGGAGUCUUUCGAGAAAGAGAGUUUAUAAGCCAAGGAGACAGUGGGAGGCAAAUUGAUCUUGAAGAAAUUCAAGAAUCAAGCGGUGAAGGAACUUCAAACUCUAGCCCUCAACUUGAGGAGGAAACUCCUGUUGAGCCAAUUGACAAAUCUGUACCUCUGAGACGUUCCACGAGAGUUAGGAGUGCACCUGAGCAUUACUAUGGAUUCCAUAUUACUGCAGAAGGUGAGACACUUAUUAGUGAUGAGACACUAGUAAGUCAAGAUGACCCUAACAGCUACGAGGAAGCCAUGGCAGGCCCCGAGUCUGCUAAAUGGAAAGAGGCUAUGGAUAGCGAGAUACAAUCCAUGUAUGACAAUCAAGUUUGGAACUUGGUUGAAAAUGUACCAGGUCGUAAGACAGUAGGGUGCAAAUGGGUCUUCAAGAAGAAGACCGACAUGGAUGGUAAAGUACACACUUAUAAGGCUAGACUGGUUGCAAAGGGCUUCUCUCAAAUUCCUGGAGUGGAUUAUGAUGAGACCUUUUCUCCGGUAGCCAAGAUUAAGUCUAUUCGGGUUCUGUUAGCCAUAGCUGCAUUUCAUGACUAUGAAAUAUGGCAGAUGGAUGUCAAAACCGCUUUCCUUAAUGGAAAGUUGGCUGAAGAUGUUUACAUGAGUCAGCCAGAGGGUUUUGUCAGCAACGAGUACCCUAAUAGAGUGUGUAAGCUUGAGAAAUCCAUUUAUGGAUUGAAGCAAGCACCUCGCAGAUGGAAUCUUUGCUUUGAUGAAAAGGUCAAGGAAUUUGGCUUUUCUAGGAGUGAAGAUGAAUCUUGUGUGUAUGUCAAGGCUAGUGGGAGUAUAGUUAGCUUUUUGGUAUUGUAUGUGGAUGACAUACUACUCAUAGGAAACGACAUUCCAACCCUGCAGGAAGUAAAGUCCUGGCUUGGGAAGUGUUUCGCUAUGAAGGACCUUGGUGAAGCUGCCUAUAUUCUAGGGAUAAGAAUCUUGAGAGAUCGGAGUAAAAGACUAAUUGGACUUAGUCAGAGUACCUACUUGGAUAAGGUGCUGAAGAGAUUCAGCAUGCAGGAUUCCAAGAAAGGAGAGUUACCCAUCCAGAGUAACACCAGAUUGAGUAAGACACAAAGCCCUAGCACUGAGGCUGAGAUAGCAGAAAUGAGUCGAACACCUUACGCUUCGGCUGUAGGAUCGAUCAUGUAUGCUAUGACGUGUACUCGACCCGAUGUAGCUUUUGCCUUGAGCAUGGUUAGCAGGUAUCAGGCGAACCCUGGCAAGGCACACUGGACUGCGGUAAAGAAUAUCCUCAAGUACCUACGGAGGACUAAGGACUGGGUCCUUACCCUCGGUGGGAGUGAUGACUUGAGAGUUGUAGGGUAUAGUGAUGCUAGCUUCCAGACUGAUAGGGAUAAUUUCCGCUCUCAGUCGGGCUGGGUCUUUACCCUAAACGGAGGAGCAAUUUCUUGGAAGAGUUCCAAGCAAGAGACAGUGGCAGAUUCUACUUGUGAAUCAGAGUAUAUUGCAGCUAGUGAAGCAGCAAAGGAGGCGAUAUGGCUGAAGAACUUCAUUGGAGACCUUGGAGUUGUACCAGCUAUUAAAGAGCCAAUGGAAAUUUUCUGUGAUAGUGAAAGUGCUGUUGCCUUAGCCAAGGAACCAAGGGAUCAUGGGAGAUCCAGACACAUCGACAGAAAAUACCAUUUCAUUAGACAUCGGAUCGAAGAAGGACUCCUCGUGGCAAAGAGGGUAUCAUCGGAUGAGAACCCAGCAGAUCCCCUCACGAAGGGACUGAGUAGGGUUAAGCAUCUCCAGCAUGCUCGGAGCAUAGGGCUGAAGGAUGAUAUAAGUUUUAGUAGUUAGAUAACCCAGAAAUUUGUAAAGUGUAAUUGACAUUUGAUGAUGAAUAAAAGGUGUUUUAUUUAUGAGUAAAGUGUUGCUAUCUCUUGUCGAUCGUUUACUAUAUUUCUUUUGCAUGUUUUGACUUCCAGAAUAAUUUUGUUUGGUAUAACAUAUUAUUCAAACCUCCACAGUCGGUCAUAUGUUGGAAGUAGAUAUGAAUCAAGACUGUCAUGUUUGGUUGUAGAGGUCUUGGACAAGGCUACAACAAUCAUGAGUGCUCAUAAGUUCUGAGCAUUGGACUCAACCCACGCUCACUGGAAUCACUUCAUGGAAUUCUAUCUCGAGUGAUCGUGAGACGGUAAUAUCAUAUAAGUCUUCAAACCUAGAGAUAUGAUUUGUUACUUACAAGUUGGUUAUGCAUUGACUGUACGAAACCGCAUUGGUAACUCGAUGUUAUAAAACGUACUUUUGUGUGUAAUUCAAUGAGUGGUAGAACAAACAUAUGAGUCGAAGUUUAUCUGUUCCUUCUUGGAUUAGAAGCUGAUAUCUGGGCCCCUCGAUGAUUUUGUUUUGACCCAUGUACCGGGCCCGGUCAGAACUAAGUUGAUGUGUUCAAUUAAGUUCUAUGUCAAACAAAUCGGAAAUCGGGAAACAAAUGCUGGACAAUAAGCAAGACAAUGUUCCAUGUAUUUGUCCGGCUGAUAUCUAGAACGGAGGAUUAUAUGAUCACUUAUCUUAAAUGGCGUACCAUCAUCUUCUCAGUUCCGAGAGACCUUGAAAGAGCUACGAUUGCCGGUCGGUUCCUGAAGUACUAGAGAUAUAGUUAUUAGACUUAUCCAAGUGGGAGACUGUUGGAUAAGGUGUCUAAGUCCAUAACUAUUUCGGGCUUGUACUUGACCCGACCCGGCAUGGUCCAUUUGGGUUGCAUGGCACCAUGCAAUUGGAUAGACUAAAUGAGAGAAAUAACACUUGGAGAUUAUUAAUAUAUUAUAAGUUCUAAUAUAUUAAUAAUAUUAUUUGAUUAGUUGAUCAAAGAAUUAAUUUGGAAUUAAUUAAGUGAUCAAAGGAUAACUAAUUAAAUAUAUGGGUUGAUUAUGUAAAUCAUCCAUAUCUUGUAUAGUGGGCUAAGAGGCUCCAUGGAUUAUCAAGUUGGGUUCUACCCAUAGGAUGCUCCAUGGAUGCUCCAUGGGAGUUACAAACCCAUGGGUCAUGGAAAUGAAGAGUCAUGACACAUUAGGGUUUACAUGGUGUAACCCUAGAUGUGCCAACACUAUAUAAAGAUCCCAUUCUCCACCAAAAUCGGUGAGACAUAAGAAACUAGAGGGCUUGGCCGAUUUUGAGAAGUGUGUAUUAUCUCAAGAGUCUUUCCAAGAGCAUUUGGUGUUGUGUGAAGCAUUUGAGGCAUCACACUUGGGGUGCUAGGCUCACAAGGUUUCAAGGAACACAAGCAACAACAAGGUAAGUUAUUCUAUCUAUGAUUCAAGUUAAAAUUGUUCCCCAUGUAUGCUAGAUAGGAAUAUAACCUUGGAAUUCAACUUUGCAUGAUAAUUAGACAAACAUAGAUCCAAGGUUAUUAGGGUUGCAUGUACACUUAGGAAGUGUUAGAAUGCUCAAAACCCAUCACAUACUACCUGCCACAUCUACCCAUACUUUCCACACGGACCAAUCCAGAGCACUUAAGUAGCUGCUCAACCUUCUCGUUUACUAAUCCCACCACACGUGAUCGCUCCUCAGCGAAACACUCUACUCCGCCAGCAUACUUAUCUGGCUAAGGUCACUCCCUAGGCUCUUCCUUGGUCCUCCCACUUCUCCGCCACCAGCUGCUGAAGAGCUCCUAAUGAUGCCAGUCAUCUACCUCCUGAAUAUCGUCAUAUUCAUUUGGUAGUUGACUCCCAUCAUCAAGAGUUCCACAAAGCACGAAGCAAGCAGCAUUCGGGCAUCGAAGAAUACAUAGACUUACUCUGGGUGGUAACUCCGCUUGCUCUGCUCUUUCUCAAAAGUACCACCGAAAUCAGCAACUCUACCCCUCGCGGGUUCUAACUAUUCUUUCGAUAAGCACCACAACUCUCAUCUAGGCGUCUCUCCUAGAUUACUCCUCUACUCAAAUCCCCUAAAAGGAUUUCAACUGAAUAUUCUCACUCAUACUCAAAAGCAC
rnacentral:lncRNA from 1 species